rnacentral:tmRNA from 1 species
GGGGAUGUAAAGGUUUCGACGGGGGAUGCGACCCCUGAUAAGCGAGCGGCGGUGCGGGACCGCCAUAAAAUCCGCAAACUUAAAAUAACUGACAAACGUACAGUUUCUCUGGCUGCUUGAUGCGGCCCGUCCCUGCGCGGAGCACCCCGGCCGCGUAAGGGGCGUCGACUAGGGGUAAAGGUGAACAGAGCAGCGCUUCGGGCUCUGUCAUCAUUUUGAAGCUACCGAACCCGUGAGCCUGUCGUUGGGCGCGCGGGCAAGGGAACGCUAAAACAGCGACUGCGCUCGGAGAAAAUCACGGCGAACAUCUUUCGGACGCGGGUUCAACUCCCGCCAUCUCCACCA